GCUGGGCAUGGUGGCUCACGCCUGUAAUCCCAGCACUUUGGGAGGCAGAGGUGGGCGAAUCACCUGAGGUCAGGAGUUCUAGACCAGCCUGGCCAACAUGGUGAAACCCCAUCUCCA
ensembl:misc_RNA Metazoa_SRP Metazoan signal recognition particle RNA